AUUGAACGCUGGCGGCAUGCCUUACACAUGCAAGUCGAACGGUAACGGGCCUUCGGGUGCCGACGAGUGGCGAACGGGUGAGUAAUGCAUCGGAACGUACCUUUCAGUGGGGGAUAACGUAGCGAAAGUUACGCUAAUACCGCAUAUUCUGUGAGCAGGAAAGCAGGGGAUCGCAAGACCUUGCGCUGAUUGAGCGGCCGAUGUCAGAUUAGCUAGUUGGUGAGGUAAAGGCUCACCAAGGCGACGAUCUGUAGCGGGUCUGAGAGGAUGAUCCGCCAGACUGGAGCGGAGACACGGUCCAGACUGCUACGGGAGGCAGCAGUGGGGAAUUUUGGACAAUGGGGGCAACCCUGAUCCAGCCAUGCCGCGUGAGUGAAGAAGGCCUUCGGGUUGUAAAGCUCUUUCGGUCGGGAGGAAAUCGCAUGGGUUAAUACCCUGUGCGGAUGACGGUACCGGCAUAAGAAGCACCGGCUAACUACGUGCCAGCCGCCGCCGUAAUAC
rnacentral:rRNA from 1 species